GCAGUAAAUUUCACCAUUGAUUUCGAUACGCAAAUAUAUCGCGUACAGUUGCGCGUACGUGAAAACCGCACGAGGUGUGAAGAUUCGUCGGAUAACGGGGGUAAAUUUGGAGAAUCUACGUUACGGCGAUACAUAAUGAAUAUAUAGAGACGCACGUUGGAGGAUGUGUACGCGAGGUUUUUGCGGAGGUAUACAUAAGGUGAAUUUCAAUCUCCUAUAGAAUCGACGUCGAGCGAGAAGAGCGACCGCAUCAGCUAACGGUUAACAGAUUCUAAACCGUUCACUGGCCCCCGUAGAUAGGAGAUAUAUUUACACGUGAGUCUCCAGGUAUACGUACAUAUGUACGAGGAAUACGCAG
rnacentral:misc_RNA from 1 species